rnacentral:rRNA from 1 species
GAUCCUGGCUCAGGAUGAACGCUGGCGGCGUGCCUAAUACAUGCAAGUCGAACGAGUUCUCGUUGAUGAUCGGUGCUUGCACCGAGAUUCAACAUGGAACGAGUGGCGGACGGGUGAGUAACACGUGGGUAACCUGCCCUUAAGUGGGGGAUAACAUUUGGAAACAGAUGCUAAUACCGCAUAGAUCCAAGAACCGCAUGGUUCUUGGCUGAAAGAUGGCGUAAGCUAUCGCUUUUGG